GUUCAAGAACGAAUUCAAGCUCUGGUGACAAAAAAGUAACACUCCGUUUGGAUCUAACGCUGCCCCUCCAAUGCCUCGACAUCAAGGUGGUCACCUGUCGUUACUGUUCCAUAGACACCAAAUAUGUGUAUCCAAAUGUAUUCUGUUAUGAAGAAGCUGGAAAGGACACCACUGGAGGAGACUCUGGAGGUGGAGUGAUGUACGGAGGCAAACUUUAUGGGGUCCAUGUAUUAGGUGGUACGAAGCUCUGCACAACACAAGCUACAGCAGUGAAGGUCUGUGAGAAGAUCUACUUGGAUUGGAUCAAGAAGACGACUGGAAUCCAAAUACCAUGACAUGAACAAGUAGCAUGAUCUUUACUUUAACAUGUUCUGUCUUUAACAGGAAUUUCAUCAGCAUUCAGAAAAUUGUUGAGUUACUCUGAGUUUGCUAUUAAUAAUAAUUAAUACAUAUAGCAUUGAUUAAAUGUUUGUAAAGCCCUUUAAUACAAAUAAUAACUGUCAUUCUAUGACUUUAUUUAUUGUCCUGUCUGAAUUAUAAGUCUUAGUUUACACAUUAAUAAUAAUUAAUAAUAAUCAAAAUGUAUCAAAACACGUCUGUAGAUUUUAAAUAUCUGAUUUUACAGUAAUUUUACUGGAGGAAAACAGCCCCAAACAUAAUAGUCUGCUGUCCUUUCAACAAUAUUGAUCAUUAUUGCAAUAAUGUCUCCUCUUGUACAAUCUGGUCAGUUUGAAUAAAAUGAAGAUGACUCACAAA